CUGUAAGCCUGUGAAGGUGUGCUGUGAGGCAUGCUGGAGGUAUCAGAAGUGCGAAUGCUGACAUAAGUAACGAUAAAGCGGGUGAAAAGCCCGCUCGCCGGAAGACCAAGGGUUCCUGUCCAACGUUAAUCGGGGCAGGGUGAGUCGACCCCUAAGGCGAGGCCGAAAGGCGUAGUCGAUGGGAAACAGGUUAAUAUUCCUGUACUUGGUGUUACUGCGAAGGGGGGACGGAGAAGGCUAUGUUGGCCGGGCGACGGUUGUCCCGGUUUAAGCGUGUAGGCUGGUUUUCCAGGCAAAUCCGGAAAAUCAAGGCUGAGGCGUGAUGACGAGGCACUACGGUGCUGAAGCAACAAAUGCCCUGCUUCCAGGAAAAGCCUCUAAGCAUCAGGUAACAUCAAAUCGUACCCCAAACCGACACAGGUGGUCAGGUAGAGAAUACCAAGGCGCUUGAGAGAACUCGGGUGAAGGAACUAGGCAAAAUGGUGCCGUAACUUCGGGAGAAGGCACGCUGAUAUGUAGGUGAAGUCCCUCGCGGAUGGAGCUGAAAUCAGUCGAAGAUACCAGCUGGCUGCAACUGUUUAUUAAAAACACAGCACUGUGCAAACACGAAAGUGGACGUAUACGGUGUGACGCCUGCCCGGUGCCGGAAGGUUAAUUGAUGGGGUUAGCCGCAAGGCGAAGCUCUUGAUCGAAGCCCCGGUAAACGGCGGCCGUAACUAUAACGGUCCUAAGGUAGCGAAAUUCCUUGUCGGGUAAGUUCCGACCUGCACGAAUGGCGUAAUGAUGGCCAGGCUGUCUCCACCCGAGACUCAGUGAAAUUGAACUCGCUGUGAAGAUGCAGUGUACCCGCGGCAAGACGGAAAGACCCCGUGAACCUUUACUAUAGCUUGACACUGAACAUUGAGCCUUGAUGUGUAGGAUAGGUGGGAGGCUUUGAAGUGUGGACGCCAGUCUGCAUGGAGCCGACCUUGAAAUACCACCCUUUAAUGUUUGAUGUUCUAACGUUGACCCGUAAUCCGGGUUGCGGACAGUGUCUGGUGGGUAGUUUGACUGGGGCGGUCUCCUCCUAAAGAGUAACGGAG
rnacentral:rRNA from 1 species